CUACGGGGUGCUGCAGUGGGGAAUAUUGGACAAUGGGGGAAACCCUGAUCCAGCAAUGCCGCGUGUGUGAAGAAGGCCUGCGGGUUGUAAAGCACUUUCGGUUGGGAGGACUGCUUCUAGCACUAAUAUUGUUGGAAGUUGACGUUACCUUCAGAAGAAGCACCGGCUAACUCCGUGCCAGCAGCCGCGGUAAUCGGAGGGUGCAAGCAUUAAUCGGAAUUACUGGGCGUAAAGCGCGCGUAGGCGGCUAGAUCAGUCGGGUGUGAAAGCCCCGGGCUUAACCUGGGAACUGCAUCCGAUACUGUCUAGCUUGAGUACAGGAGAGGAGAGUGGAAUUCCACAUGUAGCGGUGAAAUGCGUAGAUAUGUGGAGGAACACCAAUGGCGAAGGCAGCUCUCUGGCCUGAUACUGACGCUGAGGUGCGAAAGCGUGGGGAGCAAACAGGAUUAGAUACCCCAGUAGUC
rnacentral:rRNA from 1 species